GACAGAGGGUGCAAACGUUGUUCGGAAUUACUGGGCGUAAAGCGCGUGUAGGCGGCCCUGCAAGUCGGGUGUGAAAUCCCACGGCUCAACCGUGGAAGUGCACUCGAAACUGCAGGGCUAGAGUCCUGGAGAGGAAGGUGGAAUGCUUGGUGUAGAGGUGAAAUUCGUAGAUAUCAAGCGGAACACCGGUGGCGAAGGCAGCUCGCUGGGACGUUACUGACGCUGAGACGCGAAAAGCGUGGGGAGCAAACAGGG
rnacentral:rRNA from 1 species